UACGUAGGGUGCAAGCGUUAAUCGGAAUCACUGGGCGUAAAGCGUGCGCAGGCGGUUUUGUAAGACAGAGGUGAAAUCCCCGGGCUCAACCUGGGAACUGCCUUUGUGACUGCAAAGCUCGAGUGCGGCAGAGGGGGAUGGAAUUCCGCGUGUAGCAGUGAAAUGCGUAGAUAUGCGGAGGAACACCGAUGGCGAAGGCAAUCCCCUGGGCCUGCACUGACGCUCAUGCACGAAAGCGUGGGGAGCAAACAGG
rnacentral:rRNA from 1 species